rnacentral:rRNA from 1 species
AUUGAACGCUGGCGGCAGGCCUAACAAAUGCAAGUCGAGCGAGCGGCGGACGGGUGAGUAAUGUAUGGGGACUGCCCGAUAGAGGGGGAUAACUACUGGAAACGGUGGCUAAUACCGCAUACUAUCGGAUAACCCAUAUGGGAUUAGCUAGUAGGUGGGGUAAAGGCUCACCUAGGCGACGAUCCAUAGCUGGUCUGAGAGGAUGAUCAGCCACACUGGGACUGAGACACGGCCCAGUCUCCUACGGAGGCAGCAUUGGUGAAUAUUGCACAAUGGGCGCAAGCCUGAUGCAGCCAUGCCGCGUGUAUGAAGAAGGCCUUAGGGUUGGAAAUGACUUUCAGCGGGGAGGCGUUACCCGCAGAGGAAGCACCGGCUAACUCCGUGCCAGCCGCCGCGGUAAUUC